GCCUAAUACAUGCAAGUCGAACGAACUCUGGUAUUGAUUGGUGCUUGCAUCAUGAUUUACAUUUGAGUGAGUGGCGAACUGGUGAGUAACACGUGGGAAACCUGCCCAGAAGCGGGGGAUAACACCUGGAAACAGAUGCUAAUACCGCAUAACAACUUGGACCGCAUGGUCCGAGUUUGAAAGAUGGCUUCGGCUAUCACUUUUGGAUGGUCCCGCGGCGUAUUAGCUAGAUGGUGGGGUAACGGCUCACCAUGGCAAUGAUACGUAGCCGACCUGAGAGGGUAAUCGGCCACAUUGGGACUGAGACACGGCCCAAACUCCUACGGGAGGCAGCAGUAGGGAAUCUUCCACAAUGGACGAAAGUCUGAUGGAGCAACGCCGCGUGAGUGAAGAAGGGUUUCGGCUCGUAAAACUCUGUUGUUAAAGAAGAACAUAUCUGAGAGUAACUGUUCAGGUAUUGACGGUAUUUAACCAGAAAGCCACGGCUAACUACGUGCCAGCAGCCGCGGUAAUACGUAGGUGGCAAGCGUUGUCCGGAUUUAUUGGGCGUAAAGCGAGCGCAGGCGGUUUUUUAAGUCUGAUGUGAAAGCCUUCGGCUCAACCGAAGAAGUGCAUCGGAAACUGGGAAACUUGAGUGCAGAAGAGGACAGUGGAACUCCAUGUGUAGCGGUGAAAUGCGUAGAUAUAUGGAAGAACACCAGUGGCGAAGGCGGCUGUCUGGUCUGUAACUGACGCUGAGGCUCGAAAGUAUGGGUAGCAAACAGGAUUAGAUACCCUGGUAGUCCAUACCGUAAACGAUGAAUGCUAAGUGUUGGAGGGUUUCCGCCCUUCAGUGCUGCAGCUAACGCAUUAAGCAUUCCGCCUGGGGAGUACGGCCGCAAGGCUGAAACUCAAAGGAAUUGACGGGGGCCCGCACAACCGGUGGAGCAUGUGGUUUAAUUCGAAGCUACGCAAAGAACCUUACCAGGUCUUGACAUACUAUGCAAAUCUAAGAGAUUAGACGUUCCCUUCGGGGACAUGGAUACAGGUGGUGCAUGGUUGUCGUCAGCUCGUGUCGUGAGAUGUUGGGUUAAGUCCCGCAACGAGCGCAACCCUUAUUAUCAGUUGCCAGCAUUAAGUUGGGCACUCUGGUGAGACUGCCGGUGACAAACCGGAGGAAGGUGGGGAUGACGUCAAAUCAUCAUGCCCCUUAUGACCUGGGCUACACACGUGCUACAAUGGAUGGUACAACGAGUUGCGAACUCGCGAGA
rnacentral:rRNA from 2 species